rnacentral:rRNA from 1 species
AGCGAACGCUGGCGGCAGGCCUAACACAUGCAAGUCGAACGAACUCUUCGGAGUUAGUGGCGGACGGGUGAGUAACACGUGGGAACGUGCCUUUUGGUUCGGAAUAACUCAGGGAAACUUGUGCUAAUACCGAAUGUGCCCUUCGGGGGAAAGAUUUAUCGCCAUUGGAGCGGCCCGCGUCUGAUUAGCUAGUUGGUGGGGUAACGGCUCACCAAGGCGACGAUCAGUAGCUGGUCUGAGAGGAUGACCAGCCACACUGGGACUGAGACACGGCCCAGACUCCUACGGGAGGCAGCAGUGGGGAAUCUUGCGCAAUGGGCGAAAGCCUGACGCAGCCAUGCCGCGUGAAUGAUGAAGGUCUUAGGAUUGUAAAAUUCUUUCACCGGGGACGAUAAUGACGGUACCCGGAGAAGAAGCCCCGGCUAACUUCGUG